UCUCCGUUGGUGAACCAGCGGAGGGAUCAUUACCGAGUUUACAACUCCCAAACCCAAUGUGAACCAUACCAAACUGUUGCCUCGGCGGGGUCACGCCCCGGGUGCGUCGCAGCCCCGGAACCAGGCGCCCGCCGGAGGGACCAACCAAACUCUUUCUGUAGUCCCCUCGCGGACGUUAUUUUUACAGCUCUGAGCAAAAAUUCAAAAUGAAUCAAAACUUUCAACAACGGAUCUCUUGGUUCUGACAUCGAUAAAGAACGCAGC
rnacentral:misc_RNA from 1 species